UACGGGGGGGAGCAAGCGUUGUUCGGAUUUACUGGGCGUAAAGGGCGCGUAGGCGGCCUGUGCAAGUCAGUUGUGAAAUCUCCGGGCUUAACUCGGAAAGGUCAACUGAUACUGCUCGGCUAGAGUGCGGAAGGGGCAACUGGAAUUCUUGGUGUAGCGGUGAAAUGCGUAGAUAUCAGGAGGAACACCUGUGGUGUAGACAGCUUACUGGACCACUUCUGACGCUGAGACACGAAAGCGUGGGUAGCAAACAGG
rnacentral:rRNA from 1 species